UAAGGAAAACUAAACAAAAUAACUGAUAUUGUAUCUCAACUUCCCUGUUCCACGAGUCCAUGAUCCAUCUUCCUCACCCACGAUCUCUUUUCAAGAAAUAUUUGUCUCCAUAUAUGUUCGACAUCAUUGCGUCUGAGUUGGUGGUGUAAGAAAAGUAUCCUGCUCCAUUUUAGAUUUUUCUAGGUUCACAAAAACUUUCAGAUUUUCCUCCUCUUUUAUCUUCUUUUGAAUCAUUUGACCUCAUCGUUGUAUUUAUUCUCAUCUAACCUGAGUCGUUUUAAGUCUUCCUAAUUUUGUUUAGAUAUCUCGGAGGAGCAAAACGGAUUCAAGGAUCCUCCAUGGAAAAUGGGAUGGUAAUUUUGGGUGACUGGGAUUUCAAAUUCUCACUUAUAAUUGGAAAUUAUAUGUCUUAGUUUUUGAAAAGUUUGAUUUGCAUUCUUUUACUCUUUCUAAAAAUCAACAGUUUAUGUUUUCAUAUUUUUUACUGGUUUAACCGUGUGUUUGGCUAUUGUAAAUCGUUCAAGGAGUUGCAAGAGUGAAAUUGUGCUCUACAUCUUGGAUUUGUAAGGACACACAAGACGUACGCAGCAUAUGUAAAGAACAAGAUAAACUCAGAGAUGGAGAGAUUGAUCAUUAGAGAGGUUGAGGAAACAAUAUAAAGCAAUAAAGGCACUGAUAUGUUAUCGUGAAAUAAAUAGUAUGACUUGAAGUAGGAGAAUCAUUCAGAAGGGAUUUCAGGUACACAAGUUGAAAUCAGAUCAUAUGUUGAAUCAACCGCAAUAUAACGGUGUUGAGAUGGAGUAGUAUAACAUGAAGAAAUUGGCGGUAACAGAUAUUCCAAUAAGCAGCAACACAAUUCCAAGUUGUAGUCAUUCAGUAGACACCGAUAACAAUAUAAUCUCUCACCAUAGAUUCCCAAGUUGUGCUUCAUCAUCUAAUUCACCAAACGCAUUUUAACAGUUCUGAAGUAUGUAUGAACAAUUGACCAUGGUGAUGCAAUAAAUAUGUAUGAGUAUUGCAAUGCUUUCAUGUGGUAUGAUGAACGUGUUGGCAAAAGAUGCAGAUGACCACAUCCGAUAAAGCUUAACGAAGCUUACUCUGCUACUUUAUCGCUUCCGUUUUCAAUCAGUCACUUCAAACUCCCUCUCAUCUCAUCGUAUGGAUAAUUCAUCCCUAUGUCUUUUGUUUGCAUGUAAUAGUUAUAGUAUCUGA